rnacentral:rRNA from 1 species
GCUCCUACGGGACGCAGCAGUGAGGAAUAUUGGUCAAUGGCCGAGAGGCUGAACCAGCCAAGUCGCGUGAGGGAUGACGGCCCUACGGGUUGUAAACCUCUUUUGUCGGGGAGCAAGACCCGCCUCGUGCAGGCGGAGCGAGAGUACCCGUAGAAAAAGCAUCGGCUAACUCCGUGCCAGCAGCCGCGGUAAUACGGAGGAUGCGAGCGUUAUCCGGAUUUAUUGGGUUUAAAGGGUGCGCAGGCGGACCGUCAAGCCAGCGGUAAAAUCGCGGGGCCCAGCCCCACCCCGCCGU